rnacentral:rRNA from 1 species
UACGUAGGGUGCGAGCGUUGUCCGGAAUUAUUGGGCGUAAAGAGCUUGUAGGCGGUUUGUCGCGUCUGCCGUGAAAGCCCAGGGCUUAACCCUGGGUCUGCGGUGGGUACGGGCAGACUAGAGUGUGGUAGGGGAGACUGGAAUUCCUGGUGUAGCGGUGAAAUGCGUAGAUAUCGAGAGGAACACCUGCGGCGAAGGCGGGUUGCUGGGCUGAUACUGACGCUGAGGCGCGAAAGCCAGGGGAGCGAACGGG